CCGGAUGCGGAUCUCGAAAGCCUGUCCCAGUUCGGACUGGAGUCUGNAACCCGACUCCACGAAGUUGGAUUCGCUAGUAAUCGCGCAUCAGCCAUGGCGCGGUGAAUACGUUCCCGGGCCUUGUACACACCGCCCGUCAAGCCAUGGGAGCCGGGGGCGCCUGAAGUCCGGGACCGCGAGGACCGGCCUAGGGCGAAACUGGUAACUGGGGCUAAGUCGUAACAAGGUACC
rnacentral:rRNA from 1 species